AAGCGAAAAACCCUAGCCGCCCACCCAUAUACAGUAGCUUGGCAUCCCACUACCGUUCGUGUUCCGAAGCGACUGUACGACUAUGUUUCUUGCUCCGUUUGACGGGUCAAGAAGGCGGCUUGGCCAAUCAUAUGGUUUCGGGGUCUGGGCUGUGCGCGAGGAACUCCUCUAACGGGCAACCCGUUGUGGCCGUCUGCUGCGAGGAGAUCUGCCUUUCCGAGGGGCUCGUCCGCCAAAAGAUGAAGUACCUCCGCUUUCUCCGCAAGCGCAUGAACUCCGAGCCCUCCCACGGCCCCGUCCACUUUCGCACCCCUGCCAAGAUCCUCUGGCGCACCCCGUCUGCGGGUAAUCUCAAUCAUCUUGACAUAACAUGAUGACAGACGAAAGGUGGAGCCGCUGCGUUGGCAAGGCUCAAGGCACACGAGGGGGUGCCACCUCCGUACGAUAAGAUGAAGAGGAUGGUUAUUUCGGACGCCCUCAAGUGUAAGUUUUUUGUUUGAUUGUUCGAGUGCAAAUGUUUUCGUUAUCUGGUCUUGUUGAUGAAAUGCUCGAUGUGUUUUUACGUUAUUGAGGUUUCAACCCGUCCAUAGAUACUGCUUGUUUGGUCGGCUGUCAUCUGAGGUUGGAUGGAAUUAAUAUGAUACCGUUAAGGUCAGAUCAAAUCGGCGUUUUGAAAACCUGCUGGACUGCACUCCGUGUAUGUUAUUGGGCCCAGUAGAUG